CUUUCUUUUCGCUUAGGUCGGAUCCGACGAGGUUCUCUCGCCUAGAGAAGGAAGGUGCGCAAAACAAACACCAAGGACUACGAGCAUCUCCUCAGUUGCCAGUAGUUUCUCUAAUGUCGCACUCAUCAUGCCGUUCCGAGUUCCUUAUGCCACAGGGAAGCUCUGCAAAAUUUAAGGCAUUUGUAAAGAGCAGCUUUGCCAGGAAAUGGUUUAGACAACAGAGUAGCUCUUGGUCAAGUUCAGGUGAGGCUGUGGAUGUGCUAAAUCAGUGCCUGGAUGCAAUAAUGGACUUGGAUGAGAGCUAAUAAACUGAAGCUCAAUACAAACAAGAUAAAUUCUCCUGUGUGCGCUUCUUCUGAUGAGAUGGAUGGUGAUCAACCAGUUCUGGAUGGGGUUGUACCCUCUCAAAGAAGCCAAUUUAUAGCUUGGGAGUUCUCCUGGAUCCAUCUUUGUCACUUGAGACUCACUGGCAUGGAGUGCUUUCUACCAACUUCAGCUGGUGGCCCAGCUAUGCCCCUAUCUGGCCAGGGAUAACCUGGCUUCAGUUAUCUAUGUUCUGGUAACAUCCAAGUUAGAUUACUGCAAUGCAGUGUAUGUGGGUUGCCCUUGAAGACUGUUCAGAAGUUCCAGCUUCUGCAAAAUGUGACAGACCAAUUAAUAACUGGGACCGUAAGAUCUGAGCUUAUAACACCAAUUUUGGCAUGCUUGCAUUGACUGCCUGUAUGUUUCCAAGCCUGAUUCAAAUUGCCAAUUUUAAUCUACAAAGCCUUAUACAACUCAGGACUGCAGUACCUGAUGGAGUGCCUCUAAAUGGACAUUACAAUCAACACCUGAAGCCUUCGUCCCAGAGUCACCUCCAAGGGAGGCUCAGAAGGUGGUAAUUCGGGAGAGAUUCUUCUCAGUGGUGGCCCCGCAAUUAUGGAACAGUUUCCCCACAGAGGCCCACCUGGUGCCAAUUUUGUAAUGUUUUUAGUGCCAGGUUAAGGCUGUUCUCUACUCCAAAGCAUUUAAUGGCAUAUGAUGGGGCAUUUAUGUCGGUUGUCUUGAACAUGUCUGGUAUCAUUGAAAUUGUUUUAGCUGUUUAA